CACGUAGGGCGCAAGCGUUGUCCGGAAUUAUUGGGCGUAAAGAGCUCGUAGGCGGCUCGGUAAGUCAGGUGUGAAAACUCUAGGCUCAACCUAGAGACGCCACCUGAUACUGCUGUGGCUAGAGUCCGGUAGGGGAGCAUGGAAUUCCUGGUGUAGCGGUGAAAUGCGCAGAUAUCAGGAGGAACACCAGUGGCGAAGGCGGUGCUCUGGGCCGGAACUGACGCUGAGGAGCGAAAGCGUGGGGAGCAAACAGG
rnacentral:rRNA from 1 species